GACGAACGCUGGCGGCGUGCCUAAUACAUGCAAGUCGAGCGCAGGAAACUGACGGAACUCUUCGGAGGGAAGGCAGCGGAAUGAGCGGCGGACGGGUGAGUAACACGUAAGGAACCUGCCUCAAGGAUUGGGAUAACUCCGAGAAAUCGGAGCUAAUACCGGAUAGUUCAACGGACCGCAUGGUCCGCUGAUGAAAGGCGCUUCGGCGUCACCUUGAGAUGGCCUUGCGGUGCAUUAGCUAGUUGGUGGGGUAACGGCCCACCAAGGCGACGAUGCAUAGCCGACCCGAGAGGGGGAUCGGCCACACUGGGACUGAGACACGGCCCAGACUCCUACGGGAGGCAGCAGUAGGGAAUCUUCCACAAUGGACGAAAGUCUGAUGGAGCAACGCCGCGUGAGUGAUGAAGGUUUUCGGAUCGUAAAACUCUGUUGUAAGGGAAGAACACGUACGAGAGGGAAUGCUCGUACCUUGACGGUACCUUACGAGAAAGCCACGGCUAACUACGUGCCAGCCGCCGCAGUAACAC
rnacentral:rRNA from 1 species